CCUACGGGGGGCAGCAGUGGGGAAUAUUGGACAAUGGGCGCAAGCCUGAUCCAGCAAUGCCGCGUGUGUGAAGAAGGCCUGCGGGUUGUAAAGCACUUUAAGCAGGAAAGAAGGGCUGAGCGAUAAUACCGUUUCGCAUUGACGUUACCUACAGAAUAAGCACCGGCUAACUCCGUGCCAGCAGCCGCGGUAAUACGGAGGGUGCGAGCGUUAAUCGGAAUUACUGGGCGUAAAGCGCGAGUCGGCGGUGAAAGCCCUGGGCUUAACCUGGGAACUGCGGUGGAUACUGUCGGGCUAGAGUGUGGUAGAGGGGAGUGGAAUUUCCGGUGUAGCAGUGAAAUGCGUAGAGAUCGGAAGGAACACCAGUGGCGAAGGCGGCUUCCUGGACCAACACUGACGCUGAGGUGCGAAAGCGUGGGGAGCAAACAGGAUUAGAUACCCGUGUAGUC
rnacentral:rRNA from 1 species